GAGCUGAAUAUGCUCAGGCGCUUGAGAGAACUCGGGAGAAGGAACUCGGCAAAUUGACACCGUAACUUCGGAAGAAGGUGUGCCGUAGUACCGUGAGAGGAGAGACACCUUGAGCGGGAAACGGUCUCAGAGAAUAGGUGGCUGCGACUGUUUAUUAAAAACACAGCACUCUGCAAAGUCGAAAGACGACGUAUAGGGUGUGAUGCCUGCCCGGUGCUGGAAGAUUAAUUGAUGGGGUGAGAGCCCUUGAUCGAAGUCCCAGUAAACGGCGGCCGUAACUAUAACGGUCCUAAGGUAGCGAAAUUCCUUGUCGGGUAAGUUCCGACCUGCACGAAUGGCAUAACGAUGGCCACACUGUCUCCUCCCGAGACUCAGUGAAGUUGAAAUGUUUGUGAUGAUGCAAUCUACCCGCGGCUAGACGGAAAGACCCCAUGAACCUUUACUGCAGCUUUGCAUUGAACUGUGAACCGAUUUGUGUAGGAUAGGUGGGAGGCAGAGAAGAGGCCACGCCAGUGGCCUUGGAGCCGACCUUGAAAUACCACCCUGAUUUGUUUGCGGUUCUAACCACGGACAGUGAUCCUGUCUUGGGACCGUGCAUGGUAGGCAGUUUGACUGGGGCGGUCUCCUCCUAAAGGGUAACGGAGGAGUACGAAGGUACGCUAGGUACGGUCGGAAAUCGUGCUGAUAGUGCAAUGGCAAAAGCGUGCUUGACUGCGAGAGCAACAACUCGAGCAGAUGCGAAAGCAGGUCAUAGUGAUCCGGUGGCUCUGAAUGGAAGGGCCAUCGCUCAACGGAUAAAAGGUACUCUGGGGAUAACAGGCUGAUACCGCCCAAGAGUUCAUAUCGACGGCGGUGUUUGGCACCUCGAUGUCGGCUCAUCUCAUCCUGGGGCUGUAGUCGGUCCCAAGGGUAUGGCUGUUCGCCAUUUAAAGAGGUACGUGAGCUGGGUUUAAAACGUCGUGAGACAGUUUGGUCCCUAUCU
rnacentral:rRNA from 1 species